UAAGCUCCGCUACUGUGCCGCAUCGGACACGUUUCGAUUUACUGGCGUAAGGGCGCGAGGCGGCUAGCACUGUGAGUCUAGUACUCAAAGCGCUACUGAGUGAGAGGGGCACCGAUUCUGUGUGGGGAAAUGCGUAUAUGAGGACACCGAGGCGAAGGCGGGUGCUGGGACUGACGCUGAGGCGCAAAGCCGGGGAGCAAACGGGAUUAAUACCCCGGUAGUCCGGCCCUAACUGAAUACUUGGUGUUAUCCGUGCCGUAACGUGGUAAGAUUCGCCUGGGGGUACGCUGCAAGAGUGAAACUCAAAGGCACAAGUUUAUCGCGGAGAACUUACCUGACUAUGAUGGGUACGCAGGUCUGCAUGGCUUUCAGCUCGUGUCGUGAGAUGUGGGUUAAGUCCCCAACGACGCACCCUUAUAACAGUUGCACGGACUCUGUGAGACUGCCGUU
rnacentral:rRNA from 1 species